rnacentral:rRNA from 1 species
AGUGAACGCUGGCGGUAGGCCUAACACAUGCAAGCCGAACGGCAGCACAGUAAGAGCUUGCUCUUACGGGUGGCGAGUGGCGGACGGGUGAGGAAUACAUCGGAAUCUACUUUUUCGUGGGGGAUAACGUAGGGAAACUUACGCUAAUACCGCAUACGACCUACGGGUGAAAGCAGGGGAUCUUCGGACCUUGCGCGAUUGAAUGAGCCGAUGUCGGAUUAGCUAGUUGGCGGGGUAAAGGCCCACCAAGGCGACGAUCCGUAGCUGGUCUGAGAGGAUGAUCCGGCACAACGGAAAUGAGACACGGGCCCGACUCCUACGGGAGGCAGCAGUGGGGAAUAUUGGACAAUGGGCGCAAGCCUGAUCCAGCCAUACCGCGUGGGUGAAGAAGGCCUUCGGGUUGUAAAGCCCUUUUGUUGGGAAAGAAAAGCAGCAGGUUAAUACCCCGCUGUUCUGACGGUACCCAAAGAAUAAGCACCGGCUAACUUCGUG